rnacentral:rRNA from 1 species
UACGUAGGGUGCAAGCGUUAAUCGGAAUUACUGGGCGUAAAGCGUGCGCAGGCGGUUUUGUAAGUCUGUCGUGAAAUCCCCGGGCUUAACCUGGGAACUGCAUUUGUGACUGCAUAGCUAGAGUACGGUAGAGGGGGAUGGAAUUCCGCGUGUAGCAGUGAAAUGCGUAGAUAUGCGGAGGAACACCGAUGGCGAAGGCAAUCCCCUGGACCUGUACUGACGCUCAUGCACGAAAGCGUGGGGAGCAAACAGG